UGGGGAAUUUUGGACAAUGGGCGCAAGCCUGAUCCAGCAAUGCCGCGUGCAGGAUGAAGGCCUUCGGGUUGUAAACUGCUUUUGUACGGAACGAAACGGCGAGCUCUAAUACAGUUUGCUAAUGACGGUACCGUAAGAAUAAGCACCGGCUAACUACGUGCCAGCAGCCGCGGUAAUACGUAGGGUGCAAGCGUUAAUCGGAAUUACUGGGCGUAAAGCGUGCGCAGGCGGUUAUGUAAGACAGAUGUGAAAUCCCCGGGCUUAACCUGGGAACUGCAUUUGUGACUGCAUAGCUAGAGUACGGUAGAGGGGGAUGGAAUUCCGCGUGUAGAAGUGAAAUGCGUAGAUAUGCGGAGGAACACCGAUGGCGAAGGCAAUCCCCUGGACCUGUACUGACGCUCAUGCACGAAAGCGUGGGGAGCAAACA
rnacentral:rRNA from 1 species